AUAAUAACUCAAAUUAAUCGUAUUUAAGAUUACCGAAGUACUUGGAUAAGGAAACUUGGACUCUUCAAAAGGAAUCGGUAACAAUGAUUCUUGAUUGGAAUAAUUCUUCAGAAUGGUAUACUGGAUUAAUUGGUUCAGGAGCCUGUUAAUUUUCUUGUUUAUUAUUAAAGAUUUCAACGUCCAGCUUCAAAAAUACAUUCAAUUAUUUAACACACGGAUUUUCGUCCAAUUCUUCAUCAAAACUCCCAUAUGAUGGAUGGUUUUCGUUCUUGACAUGCUAAGAUUAUCGUUUUCAAUCGUUUUAACCGGACAAACAUGAAUUACAAUAAGAAAUUAAUGAAAAAUGAAAUUUGAGGUUAUGUUGCUGUCAAAAUUCUACAAAAUUACUUCGUAUUAACUUUGGAUGGAUUAAAUACAAUAAAAAACAUAAACGGCCAACAAUACAUAAAGAAGAUAUUUACAACAUUUUAAAACUCUAUUACAUUAUUAAAAAUGAGGCUUAAGCAUAAAUAAAU
rnacentral:lncRNA from 1 species